GUCCCUGUGACGCAGUGGCUAAGCGUCUGGCAGGCUUUAUGCGCAUGAGGUAGUCGGUUCAAAUCCGGCCAGGGCACC
rnacentral:tRNA from 1 species